GUGAAUCAUCGAAUUUUUGAACGCAAAUUGCACUCUCUUCGGAGAGUAUGCCUGUUUGAGGGUCAGCCUAAAAAAAAUCGACAUUGUUGCUGUUAUUUAAUGGUGACUUUCGUCGGAGAUUGGGUUAUCUUAAACCUUUUUUUUUUUUGGUUUAAGCGACUUAAAAUUUUUCUUUACGAUUCCACGAACGUUUCUAAGAUUUACUUACACGUUUAAGGUAUCGAUCUUUAUUAGACGUGACCGUCGCAUCGGAUCGCGUCCAUAAUGUUGACUUUCGUUAACUGACCUCAGACAGGUAAGA
rnacentral:misc_RNA from 1 species